GACUUACUAUAAAGGAAGGAGAACGAGGACAUGAAGAAUGACACGUGGUAAACCCUAGAGAGAGCUACACACAUACAUCGACCUUGUUUUCAUCUCAAUCUUAGAUCUUUUCUUUACCGAUCUCAUUUGUAUCAUUCGAUUUAGUUCAACUCAUUGUAUUCGAUCUUAUUCAUCAAUAAAGUCCAUUUUUACCUACUAGAAACUGUUUACAUUGCUGUGUUCUAAAGAUAUCGUUGCCUACAUCAUUUGUCUUCCUUAGAUCAAACUCCCGAUC
rnacentral:lncRNA from 1 species